rnacentral:rRNA from 1 species
UACAGAGGAUGCAAGCGUUAUCCGGAAUGAUUGGGCGUAAAGCGUCUGUAGGUGGCUUUUUAAGUCCGCCGUCAAAUCCCAGGGCUCAACUCUGGACAGGCGGUGGAAACUACCAAGCUGGAGUACGGUAGGGGCAGAGGGAAUUUCCGGUGGAGCGGUGAAAUGCGUAGAGAUCCGGAAGAACACCGGUGGCGAAGGCGGCCUGCUGGGCUAUGGCUGACACUGAGGCGCGACAGCGUGGGGAGCAAACAGG